AGGACGAACGCUGGCGGCGUGCUUAACACAUGCAAGUCGAGCGGAAAGGCCCUUUGGGGUACUCGAGCGGCGAACGGGUGAGUAACACGUGAGUAACCUGCCCUCAGCUUUGGGAUAACCCUCGGAAACGGGGGCUAAUACCGAAUAUUCAUUCCUUGCGGCAUCGUGGGGUGUGGAAAGUUUUUCGGCUGGGGAUGGGCUCGCGGCCUAUCAGCUUGUUGGUGGGGUGAUGGCCUACCGAAGGCGACGACGGGUAGCCGGCCUGAGAGGGCGACCGGCACGACUGGGACUGAGACACGGCCCAGACU
rnacentral:rRNA from 1 species